CACUUCGACCACUGCUUACCGACCACCUACUGAGUGCCAGGCGCUAUGGUGGGCGCUCGGGCUGCAGGCCAAGCAGAGCAACGUCUCAGGCCUCAUGGAGCUCGCAGUCCAGUGCAAAUACCCAGAAAUGAAAUUAAAGGACAUUUGGUAUUUUUAACUCUCUGAGGAACCUCCCUACUGUUCUCCAGUUACAUCCCCACCCACAGUGCGUGAGUGUUCCCUUUUCCCCACAUCCUCACCAAUAAAUCUUACCCAUUCUGACAGGCA